UUUGGGCCAAUACGCUCUGCGCGCCUCGCAGGCAAUCCUGUCCUCGACUCGUCCCGCUCCCACAUGAGCCGCCAGACAAACCCUAGCCUCUUUCCCCUCGAUCCCCACACCCUCUCCUGCCUCCUCCAUCUCUCUCCCCGCGUCACCAUGGGAGCCCCGCCGACGCCUGCCAUCCCUCCUCCCUCGUCUCCGUUCGAAGCCGAGGACCGGCUCACCCCACAGCUUUUCUCCACCUACGACCUAGGGUUGGGGAGGGAGGCCGGGUCUUCUCGGUGGGGUGGAGGAGCCGGGGAUGGCCGGGAGGCCGACGGUGGGGGGAGCAUCGAGGCCGGCGGAUGGAGCAGCGAGGCCCGAGCUCUAGGCGUCGUACACAUUGAUGGAUGGAGAAGAGGCCGGCGUGGGGCGCAAGGAGCAGCGGGGGGAGAACGGUGGGGCUUUCAUCUCCUCUCUUCUAAUCGCGACUCCUGUGACCUCGCCACCGGUGCUCGCUCGACUGGCGUAUGGGGCGGCGGCCGGGACGUUGGCCCUCGGCCGAACUCGAAGCCGAGUCUAGCUGACAAGACUCGUGGUAUACUGAUUCCUUGAUGCUCUGUUCAUGAAGCUAUGCAGGCCGGCGGUUAGUGUUGCAGCCUGCACACACGACAGGAGCAGCAGUCAGGUCCAUGGACAUUGCUUUGGGAGCAGCGGUCAAGCCACGGGGUACCAUCAAUUCAGAAAAUAACUUUCCUUCUUGUGAGAUAUCAAACAAUACAUUUCCUACAAAUCCGAGAUUCAGGCAGCCUUGUUGAUGUACAAAGAAUUGGUGCAUUUUGUCGGAAGAUGACGAACUAUUUCUUCACUCACAUGGCCAGCAGCUACCUAUUGGCCUUUUUUGACGUACCUUUAUUAACAUGUUAUCAGGUAUACGAUCACUUUUAGAGCAUGUUAUCACAUACCACAUGGUUUAGUGAGACAUACCAAUAUCAUUAUAAAUCUCUGGUUUACUAUCGAAUUCUUGAAUUUUUAUUUGAGAUCCUUUUGUUCAUCUCCUCCAAUUGUUGUCUGAAAAUAGUCUUGUUUUACCCACAUCAUUUCUAUAAACCAAGUAGCCUUUGGAGGAUGUAGCAAACCUUCAUGUCUGCAGUCUGUCAUCCUUGAACAAGACUAAUUGGAAAUUGUCUGAUAUUGAACUUUUGAAGUACGAAAUUUAUGCUUUCGUUACCUACUUAGCUAUGUUACACGCCAUUCAUUCAUUUGCUAUGUGAUCUUGAUCUGUGCUUUGCAUUCUUACUUGAUUGGUUAUUCCCAGAUUGAUCUCAAUGUUUUGAAUGCUCAAGUCAAUCAUGAUACUUAAAAUCGUCUCUUAACUUAUUGCAUUCACUGCUGAAAUUUUCACACUCCCUGUCAUUAUUGUGUACAGUGAAUCUUGCAUCUUUUGAAUUGUUGAAACAAACUUAUGCUUAAUUAUGGGGCAUCCAAUGCAAGCCCCAGCCACGGGAUGUCAGUUCCGCACCGCUGCCAGCGACCGCCGUUCUGUUGCCUUGGAUUCGGGUGUGGCGUUGGCUGGGAACCGUAUGGUGUUUGUCUGACGCGCUGUCCGCAUCGUGGGGGUUUGGUCGGUUGACUCCAGGUAUGAGCAGCUCCUGAGCUUGAUGGCUGGAUGUAUCAUGGUCAUGUUGCUUGGUGUGCAGAGGCAACCUCAUUUUUGGACCAAAAAGAGGGGCGAUGACGAUGACGACUGGCUGAAACAAUCAUGUCUUGAGCAAUCAAGACAGCCUUGGCUUGUGGGACUAAACAAAGCUGAAAAAGUCGGUGUCACCGUUGGAGUUGCCCUUAGAGCCUACCCUAACCUCUGUUGUAACCUGCUCAAUUUUAUUGCCGAUGUUGGAUGAUCUGUGCCUUGGACGGUUGUUCUGAUGAGUGAUACUCUGGGACUAGGUCUAUUUCAACACACACGAACCCAUUGACCUCCCAUGUUCCUGGGGAGCGUUGCAUGUCGGAAAAGUUAGGGUUUGUGUCACACAAAGUUCUGCAUUGACACUUAGAAAGUAAGUGAAAAGUGAUAUGCCAUUUUUUGAGGCUAUCUACAAUCCCGUUAAAAGGCAACUGCUAAACACCGAAGGGCAAUGGAACUCAAUUUGUCGGUAUCGCAGUUUGAUAAAUUAUAUUAGUGGUAUUUCUUGGAUUUAUAUAAGAAAAACAAAAAUAGCUACCUUUGUGUGAAUUACAAUGCUAUGAUCAAUUCUUUGUAUCAGACAUGAAUGGACAGAUUCAAGAUUUCCUUUCACCUAGGCUUGGUUAGUUGGCCACUUCAAUUCCCACUUCCUGUCAUGUAAUCUUUAUGUCGAUACUUUGACAUUACAUACAGAAUAUGAUGCAAUAUGUAGAAGUUACUAAUGGUCAAAAAUUUACUAUUCACAUUAUGUAGAAGUUGCAUAAGGCAGAACAAGAAUAAGAACAUUUGUCAGUUUUUUCAUUUGCAGGUUCAGCAGCGGGCAAUGCUCAAGAUAGAGUUGGGCGCACAUCAUAUAUAUACAUAUGUUGUCGUGUCUUAAUAAAUGGAGAUGAGCAGAAGUAGAGAUGAAAUAGGCUGUUCUGUUGCUUCUGUGACCGGCGAGUGUUCAUUGCAUGCCUGUGUGUCGUUGUGCUCUGAUUGGUUGUUUUUUGUGUAUUUUCGCAGGUUGCACGAGCUCUGCUGUAGCUGCGUCGUUCGACUCAUCAAGAUAUACCACGAAGGGAAGAUCUGCCUCACUGUGCACUUCAGGGGCGCAUACACUAGCGAUGGUACAGGAUUGGCUUCCUGGUGGAAUCAGGUGCGCGUCGUCCAUGGUGGCCUGUCGUGGGUGUUGGUGGGCGGCUGGAGGCGGCUGUAGCAGUACUGCACCUGGUUAUCUACAGAGGAAGGCAAGGAUAACUAGAUUAAACAUUUCACAAGACCCUCCCAAUUACAGGCACAAACUCCUUUCAAGAUAUUACAAGUGUGGUUGAUUAUGGGAGAUUGUCAGAUGAAAAGAAGGUAUAUCCUUUAUAUUUAUCUAGAUGUUUAAUUAGCUGCACAACCAUACGUGAUUCUAUAAGGAAACUAUUUAUCCUGAUGAUCUUGAUAUCCAGUCAUGUAUUACAGUAUUAGUAUAGGCUGUAAUUUUUGGCUAGGAAUCUAUAUAUACAAAACCUAAACUGAAGACUCAAUAUAGCACAUAUACUUGGCCAGUUAUCCUAAGAAUAUUAAUCCACCUGGACUUUUAACUUGACUUCCAAAGAAGUUCUUAACGAUCAAGCAUUUUUGAGUUUUUAGUAAAUUGAAAUGAUGUUGCACUUUGACAAUACUAUUCUGAUUUUGCAAGUUAAUAGAAAUCCUUCAAUUUCAUAUCACUAUUUUAAUCGCAUAUUUGGAUGAUUGCGACAUUAUCUCUUCUCGGAAUUCCGCUUGCAUGUUUCCAGUUGAGACAAUAACUGAGUUUGAUAAGUAACCACUAUAUUAUUUUCUAUGUGUACACAUGUUGUCGCUCUGCUUGAGUCAUCCAUCUCCACAUUACGAGCCCGAGACUUCCAUCACAACAAUCUAUAUGUAUCCAGGUAGUGUCCAAUAUGUACACACAGGCUCCUCUCACAGGUCGACUAAGCUGAUUGUAACUGAAUGUGUGUGUGUGGCCGUGAAGCAGACUUUAUCUUGGUCUGAGUAUCAGUUCCCUUCAAUGGUACAAUUUUGGAUACUAUUUUCUUCUAGAUGUAUAGGUUUCUGCUGGUCCCAUUGGCUGCUACAUUUUAGUGAUACGAUAGCUCAAUGUCAUGCUCACCAAUUGUUCUGUAAAAAUGAAAAAUCGACUUGACUGUAUUUUGUACCUGUUUUAGUAAUUACAUGAUGUGAUUAGUUUCAUUCUAGAUAUGGAAAUAUUCUAAGGAUUAAGCUUUUUGAGACGUUAAGGUAUCUGAUGAUUAAUUAGCCUUUGUAAGAUUUAUGCACUCAUGUCAUACAACCUAGAUAAUUCUCCUUGGAUCUCCAUAAUUUCUAACUGAAUAUAGAUGUAUACUGACAGUAAAUCCCGUUUUAGUAAUUAGUUGGAUAUAAGUGAUAAUUCUUUGACAUGUUUUUAUGAAAUGUCUGCUUAAAUCAGCGUUAGAUGCUCCCAUAAUCGAUUACUUUUUGGAUAUGAAUUAUUACUAUAAGAAGUAUAUUGGUUCUCCGGUGUUUUCAUUUCUUACAAUAAACAAAUUAUAUUGUUUUCCACUAAUCAUUUCUCAUGUAGUUUUACUCUGCAGUAUGUAUCUUUUGCUUCAUAACUCAUCUGUUCACAAGAUUGAUGCCUAGAAAUUUCAGCCUUCCGUGCUAAAUGCCGUCUGCUCAUUUGUAACGGCAUAGAGAUAGGAACGAGCAAUUCAUCCUAAGUUUGAGAAAGUGGUGGACAAAAGAGAACUGGACUAUUGUUGCUGAGCGCUAGCUCUGGCCGCAUGAUCAUCUAUAUGUAUAGUUUUCAACAGUAAAUGCAUCCUGAUUGGUAUAGCACAAAUGGAAAUCUUACUUUCUUCUAAACUCUUAAUUUCAAGAUGAACUGGAGAGGGGAAUUUGUACUAAGUUUGGAAUCUAUCACAGUAAGUGUGUAUUUGCGGUAUUGAUGUACAGUUAUUAAGAAAGUUACAUUUUUCAGCUAUUGUGCUACUGAGAAGGAAGCAUGGUUGUGAAUUGCUCUGGCUGGAGUUGAAUGUCUUUGUGACUGAAUACUAGAGACGCUGACUUGCAGCCACUCUUUACAGUCCUACCACGUAGCUUUUAUCUCUCACCUUCCGUUAUUUUCAUGUUAACACUGCCAUUGGGGCAAAUCUAUAUUGCUUAUUGAUCGGGUCUAGCUAUAGGUAGAAUUCCAUGUUUCCUACACUGUAUUAUACCCAUUACUAAUUGAAUGUUGAUUCUGACAAUCAUAAGACAUCCACCAUAGUCGUGGCAACUCGAAAAACGUAAGCUGGAGAAAUAUCAAAAUCACACGAAACCUCCCCUUUGCUAAUACCAUAAGGGUUCGAUUGAGGCUCUCUGUUAACAGCGCUUUGGUAAAAGUAAGCGUGUGGACGAUGUUAUAGUGAGCUACCAUCACUUCUCAUUACUGACUGUAAUCAAUAUAUAUGUGUUUAUGCCAUAAAAGAUGGAUAUUUGUCGAAGCCAUUGUGGUGUCAUGUAAUUACUUGCAGAUCAACUAUAUAGUUUUGUUUGGAUUGUAAAGUGGAAACGAUAAAACCCUACAACUCAUGUGUGAUUGUCAUUUGAUUAUUUACUUCCUCAAGUAGUAUGGAUAUGGUGCUGCCAGGAUAUGAAGUAUAUUCAUGAAGUUGUAUAAACCACGUUCUACGAUUCACUUCUGUUAUGCAUAUUUACUUUCCAGUUUUAGGACUGAAAUCCAUCCAUUGUAAUGAAUUUGGUUGUAUGGGCAUUACCUAUUUGACUUAGGCUUGCUUCAUCACAUAUAGACUGCUUUUCUUUUCCCCACU